rnacentral:rRNA from 1 species
UCGUAGGCGGUUUGUCGCGUCUGCUGUGAAAAACCCGAGGCUCAACCUCGGGCCUGCAGUGGGUACGGGCAGACUAGAGUGCGGUAGGGGAGAUUGGAAUUCCUGGUGUAGCGGUGGAAUGCGCAGAUAUCAGGAGGAACACCAAUGGCGAAGGCAGAUCUCUGGGCCGUAACUGACGCUGAGGAGCGAAAGCAUGGGGAGCGAACAGGAUUAGAUACCCUGGUAGUCCAUGCCGUAAACGUUGGGAACUAGAUGUGGGGACCAUUCCACGGUCUCCGUGUCGCAGCUAACGCAUUAAGUUCCCCGCCUGGGGAGUACGGCCGCAAGGCUAAAACUCAAAGGAAUUGACGGGGGCCCGCACAAGCGGCGGAGCAUGCGGAUUAAUUCGAUGCAACGCGAAGAACCUUACCAAGGCUUGACAUAUAGAGGAAACGGCUGGAAACAGUCGCCCCGCAAGGUCUCUAUACAGGUGGUGCAUGGUUGUCGUCAGCUCGUGUCGUGAGAUGUUGGGUUAAGUCCCGCAACGAGCGCAACCCUCGUCCUAUGUUGCCAGCACGUAAUGGUGGGAACUCAUGGGAUACUGCCGGGGUCAACUCGGAGGAAGGUGGGGAUGACGUCAAAUCAUCAUGCCCCUUAUGUCUUGGGCUUCACGCAUGCUACAAUGGCCGGUACAAAGGGCUGCAAUACCGCAAGGUGGAGCGAAUCCCAAAAAGCCGGUCUCAGUUCGGAUUGAGGUCUGCAACUCGACCUCAUGAAGUCGGAGUCGCUAGUAAUCGCAGAUCAGCAACGCUGCGGUGAAUACGUUCCCGGGCCUUGUACACACCGCCCGUCAAGUCAUGAAAGUCGGUAACACCCGAAGCCAGUGGCCUAACCCGCAAGGGGAGG